UGGCGGGAGGUCUCAGGCAGUGGAAUCGUGCUGGCCUCACAUGCCCACCGCCCACGCGUUCCUUCCUCGUCCUUUCCGAGCCCGCUGUGCAGACUGCCAGGUGAGGACAGUGUUGAUCGCGAACCCGAAGGGAAACGUCACACUGCGGAGCAGUCUGCACGCGUCCCGUGCGCGUGGCUUUGCGUCCCGUGCGCGUGGCUUUCUACGUGGCUAAUGCUGCUGCCAUCCCUUUCAUACCAAAGAAUGCUCUCUAAAACAUAAUGUUUCACAUUAAGCAAAUGUGUCAUCUUCAAGACGAGUGUUCUACUAGUUUUGCUGGUUGUCCUAACAUCGCGAGACGUCAAAUGGCAAGGCAGGUUACUAUCGGGAAGAAGAAGCAAGUGCAGCAGGAGAGGAGGAAGGGCUCUCAUCUGAAGGGAAACAUCUGAACGUCAAACGACUGAGAAAUUCAGGCCAGAUCCAAUGAAUCAAGACUGAGACGAACUCCUAAUCGCGUCAUCUGUUGGUGUUCCUUUCGGGUUGGCCAGGUUUAUGUAAAAUCAGAGAGCAGUA